rnacentral:rRNA from 1 species
GGGUGUGACUGCGUACCUUUUGUAUAAUGGGUCAGCGACUUAUAUUCUGUAGCAAGGUUAACCGAAUAGGGGAGCCGGAGGGAAACCGAGUCUUAACCGGGCGUUAAGUUGCAGGGUAUAGACCCGAAACCCGGUGAUCUAGCCAUGGGCAGGUUGAAGGUUGGGUAACACUAACUGGAGGACCGAACCGACUAAUGUUGAAAAAUUAGCGGAUGACCUGUGGCUGGGGGUGAAAGGCCAAUCAAACCGGGAGAUAGCUGGUUCUCCCCGAAAGCUAUUUAGGUAGCGCCUCGUGAAUUCAUCUCCGGGGGUAGAGCACUGUUUCGGCUAGGGGGCCAUCCCGGCUUACCAACCCGAUGCAAACUGCGAAUACCGGAGAAUGUUAUCACGGGAGACACACGGCGGGUGCUAACGUCCGUCGUGAAGAGGGAAACAACCCAGACCGCCAGCUAAGGUCCCAAAGUCAUGGUUAAGUGGGAAACGAUGUGGGAAGGCCCAGACAGCCAGGAUGUUGGCUUAGAAGCAGCCAUCAUUUAAAGAAAGCGUAAUAGCUCACUGGUCGAGUCGGCCUGCGCGGAAGAUGUAACGGGGCUAAACCAUGCACCGAAGCUGCGGCAGCGA